rnacentral:rRNA from 1 species
GCAUAUCAUAAGCGGAGGAAAAGAAACUAACAAGGAUUCCCCUAGUAACUGCGAGUGAAGCGGGAAAAGCUCAAAUUUAAAAGCUGGCGGUCUUUGGCCGUCCGCAUUGUAAUCUAGAGAAGUGUUACCCGCGUUGGACCGUGUACAAGUCUCCUGGAAUGGAGCGUCAUAGAGGGUGACAAUCCCGUCUUUGACACGGACUCCCAAGGCUUUGUGGUGCGCUCUCAAAGAGUCGAGUUGUUUGGGAAUGCAGCUCUAAAUGGGUGGUAAAUUCCAUCUAAAGCUAAAUAUUGGCGAGAGACCGAUAGCGAACAAGUACCGUGAGGGAAAGAUGAAAAGAACUUUGGAAAGAGAGUUAAACAGUACGUGAAAUUGCUGAAAGGGAAACGCUUGAAGUCAGUCGCGUCGUCCGGAGAUCAACCUUGCUUUUGCUGGGCGUACUCUCCGGUUGACGGGCCAGCAUCAGUUUUGGCCACUGGAAAAGGGCGGAGGAAAUGUGGCAUCCUCGGAUGUGUUAUAGUCUUCCGUCGUAUACAGUGGCUGGGACUGAGGAACUCAGCACGCCGCAAGGCCGGGAUUUAUCCACGUACGUGCUUAGGAUGCUGGCAUAAUGGCUUUAAUCGACCCGUCUUGAAACACGGACCAAGGAGUCUAACAUGCCUGCGAGUGUUUGGGUGGAAAACCCGAGCGCGUAAUGAAAGUGAAAGUUGAGAUCCCUGUCGUGGGGAGCAUCGACGCCCGGACCAGACCUUUUGUGACGGAUCUGCGGUAGAGCAUGUAUGUUGGGACCCGAAAGAUGGUGAACUAUGCCUGAAUAGGGUGAAGCCAGAGGAAACUCUGGUGGAGGCUCGUAGCGAUUCUGACGUGCAAAUCGAUCGUCAAAUUUGGGUAUAGGGGGCGAAAGACUAAUCGAACCAUCUAGUAGCUGGUCUGCG